UAUUGUGAUCACUUAUUCUUGUUAUGUAUGGCUUUGUAGCACUUCUACCUGUUGCUGGCAGUAAUUGGUGCCGCUCGGUGGUUUGUACCGGUUGAGUGCUUGCAUUACGUUUUGUCGAGGUGAUCUUCUAAACUAAAGAACUCGCUGGUGCCCAGCUGAGUGUCUGAUUUGAAGGGGAAACAGCUGAUUUCCUGAUACCGUGAGUUUGGUGCUAGUGACCGCUGCUGUUUUGCCACGCUUUUCUCCAAGACCAGUGCUUCGCCUAUUUUGGCCGUGAAGACGCCGACAACACAUUUUAAUGGGCUAAGUGCCUUGUCUCUUGUUGUGUCUAGAUUGAUUGUUUGUGUGUGUGUGUGUGUGAGAGUGAGUAUGACGGUGUGCAUGUAGCAUGCUGGUGUGAUUUAUUGUUUGGUGUGUGGUUUAUUAUUGUUUUUUUUUAUUUUAUUGUUUGUCUGUCUAUUUUUUGGGCUAGAAACAGGUAUAGGCCUUGUGUAGCAUAGCUGAGAUCUGCUAAAUGCUGGUGUUAAGACCCUCCUAGCUUUAGCUUUCAUACUCGUGGUGUUUUGUUCCUGUCUGUCUUUUCUUUUGGGGUUUUCAUGUCUUUGUGUUGAACAUUGGUGGGAGGCCUUCUCUAUACUGCUGUGGAUCACCAGUGAUCCUUGUAGCUGGCCUAUAACUAGUUUCGGUUUCUAUUUGUUUAUUAUUUCCUUUUUCCUGUGUUGAACAUUGGUGGGAGGCCUUUUAGUAUACUGCUGCGGAUCACCAGUGAUCCUUCUAGUCGGCCUACCACACCUGCUCGCAUGUGUUGUGUUUUUGUCUGUUUGUGCAUAUGUGAGUAUAAUCCUCACCCAUCUACUCAUUCCCCCUGUUCUCCUUUUUCCAGGUGCUGAGGCCCCAAGGCAGGGAAGACAGUCCUAUCCUCCAGGUGGUGGUGUCCCCCUACUGUGUGCAGUGCUCACGUGUGCUUCUUGAGGUGUGCUGUCUUAGCCUUUGUGUUGACGUCUGUGUGUAAACACGUGUGAGUGGUCUAUUUGGGAUUCCCCCCCCCCCCUUUGACUUGUGAUAUCUGGUCCCCCUGCUGGUAAGCCUCAGCACUGUCUCUCUACCCUCCCUUGUCAUCUAUAUGGUGUGAGUGAAAGUGUCUUAUCUAUCUGUUGUGAGAACAUACAAUUUGUAUUUAAUAAAACAUAACUUAUUAUUGGAA